rnacentral:rRNA from 1 species
UACGUAGGGUGCGAGCGUUAAUCGGAAUUACUGGGCGUAAAGAGUGCGUAGGCGGAUAUAUAAGUUAGAUGUGAAAUCCCCGGGCUUAACCUGGGAACGGCAUUUAAGACUGUAGGUCUAGAGAUUGUAAGAGGGGGGUAGAAUUCCAAGUGUAGCAGUGAAAUGCGUAGAGAUUUGGAGGAAUACCGAUGGCGAAGGCAGCCCCCUGGGAUAAAUCUGACGCUGAGGCACGAGAGCGUGGGUAGCAAACAGGAUUAGAACCGUACCGUCGUG